GCCCACGUGGCGGAAUGGUAGACGCGCUCGUUUCAGGUGCGAGUGUUGAAAGACGUGCAAGUUCGAUUCUUGUCGUGGGCA
rnacentral:tRNA from 1 species